CAAAGAAUUCUCCUUUUGGGCUUUAUAUUCUUAAUCUCAGCCCAAAGGUGAAUUUUUUGGG
rnacentral:pre_miRNA from 1 species